AUGGUGAAGUACAUGCUCCAUAGGACAAGCCAGCCAGGCCAGCAUCAAUACCAGGGCCUAUGGACGCCAGGGACCUGGGGGCCAGGAGUAUGGGGGCCUGGGCCAACCUGGGGUCCACAUCGGGGGCCAGCCGGACACAGAGCACAACGCCACAGUUACACCAACAACAAGUUACUCUGCAAAUGCAGGCAUUCCCUCUUCCCCUUCUCUCCCUCCUCUCCUUCUCCAACCGUUCUGUCUGGGAGCGUCACCAGUCUCCAUGGCAGCAGUCAAAAUAAAGUGGAUGUAAGCGGCCCUGUUGAGACAGUUGCUGUGGUUACGACAGCGUCACACAGACUGAUUCAGACUGGGGACCCUAAUGUGCUCUGACGCUUGUAGUCGGACACACACACACUAGUCUGUUGAACAACAUGCCUCAGUCUGUCAUACAGAGGAGAGACAUUAUACUGUGUUUUUCACCCUGCAAAACCAUUUCCUUUCCUGCUACUCGUGAGUGAUUUUUCUCACACUGAUGUAAUGCUGAUUUACUAGUUAUUUAGAGGGAGCUGAAGUUGAGCUUUUGCUUUAACGUUAUUCUCCAGAUGCAUUUUAUCCUCUUCAGAAAGGUGGGGAUAUCUAGUAAGUCCUAGAUCAACCAUCAUGAGCUUUAUGAUCUUUUCAAGGGGCAAUCUGCAGUUCAAACAAUAGCAAAGCAUAGGCCACACCACUGUUUUGGUAAAGUAAUGAGGGUUGGGGCUGGAGGAAUGUAACCACUUUCAAAUUCAUGGACAGGGCUAUGGAUGUAAAGACUGACCAUCCAUGACAUCAACAUAGUUUUAACCAUGUUUUGAGACUAUACAGAAUAGAAUAAGUAAGCCAAAUAGAAUAAGUAGCCAGCCAGACUCCCCCUAGGUUAAUCAUUUUUGCUGAAUAACCUCUAUUUUGGUGGCCCUUGAUUCCAUCCAAAAUACUCAGUGAAAUUAUUGAAUACUUUAUUGAGUUUACCUCCCAGAUUGGAAAAAGGUUACAUUUAAAAUCAAACAAAUUGUGUGAAGGCCACUUUUUCCAAUUACAAAAUGGGUCUCUAAAACAGAACAGAUGCUCAAUUAAGUUCUGGGUCCACACUUGUUAAGAGAACAGAGA
rnacentral:lncRNA from 13 species